rnacentral:rRNA from 1 species
AUGUUUCGUGAUGUCUCACGCUUCACCAACCGAUGCUCUACAUGUCGCAAAGCUAAGUCCAAAGCUCAAUCACAUGGUCUUUACAUGCCUCUUCCUAUUCCUUAUCAACCUUGGGAAGACAUUAGCAUGGAUUUUGUACUUGGUUUGCCUAGAACUCGAAAUGGAAAGGAUUUUUUCUUUGUUGUUGUGGACCGAUUUUCUAAGAUGGCACAUUUCAUUCCUUGCCACAAGAUAGACGAUGCUUCACACAUUGCAAAUCUCUUUUGUAGGGAAAUCUUGCGCCUCCAUGGAGUACCAAAGACAAUCAUCUCCGACCGCGACGUCAAGUUCUUGAGUUACUUUUGGAAGGUGAUAUGCGCCAAGCUCGGAAUCAAGCUCUUGUUCUCAUCCGCAUACCAUACUCAAACCGACGGCCAAACGGAGGUGACGAACCGCACGCUAUCCACUCUACUUCGCGUGUUGAUCAAGAAGAACAUCAAGGAGUGGGAGGAAUGUCUACCCAUCGCCGAGUACGCCUACAACCGUGCAAGACAUUCUAGGACCGGCAAGUCCCCCUUCGAGGUCGUCUACGGCUUCAACCCGUUAUCCCCAUUGGACAUUCUACCUCUUCCUCUACAAGAGCGCACCCACUACAAGAAAUCUGUCAACUAG